rnacentral:rRNA from 1 species
AUUGCACAAUGGGGGAAACCCUGAUGCAGCGACGCCGCGUGGAGGAAGAAGGUCUUCGGAUUGUAAACUCCUGUUGUUGGGGAAGAUAAUGACGGUACCCAACAAGGAAGUGACGGCUAACUACGUGCCAGCAGCCGCGGUAAUA